UGUCUCUCUGCCUCUGGCUGCAGCAGCAGCUGUGUGCCUUUGCGUGUGUGUGACUGUCCCGCUCGCUCCGGCUCGGCUGUCGGGCCUCGUGCGGCGGCCACUCAACUCGGUCUUUCAGUCAACUCGUUCAUCUGUCUGGAUCUUUCGUUCACUCGGUCUUUCAGUCAACUCGUUCACUGUCUGGAUCUUUCGUUCACUCGGUCUCUCGUUCAACUCGUUCAUCCGUCUGGGUCUUUCGUUCACUCGGUCUUUCGUUCAACUCGUUCAUCCGUCUGGAUCUUUCAUUCACUCGGUCUUUCGUUCAACUCGUUCAUCCGUCUGGAUCUUUCGUUCACUCGGUCUUUCGUUCAACUCGUUCAUCGGUCUGGGUCUUUCGUUCAACUCGGUCUUUCGUUCACUCGGUCUUUCGUUCAACUCGUUCAUCCGUCUGGAUCUUUCGUUCACUCGGUCUUUCGUUCAACUCGUUCAUCGGUCUGGGUCUUUCGUUCAACUCGGUCUUUCGUUCAUUUGACCCGUUCUUUCAGUCAACUAGGUCUUUCGUUCAUUUGACCCGUUCUUUCAGUCAACUCGGUCAUCCCGGUCUUUCAGUCAGCUCAGUAGUACUGCUGCUGCUUCUCUAAGCCCCACCCACACACAGAACGAGGCGCGACGAUAGGAUAAGACAGGCAAGCAGUCCCUCUUCAGCCAAUCAAAAGAACUGAACGGAUUGAACGGGUCAUUUAGGGGGGGAGAACUAGUUCAUUUCGUUCAUCAAAAAGAACUAGUUCUUUUGAUCCGUUCGUUCAAGACCGACAAACCACUAGUGUGAGA